UCUUGUGUAAAGAGCAUGUGCUGAGAGAGCUGGAGACUUCUCUAAGAGACCAAACCAAACCAAACCAAACUAAAAGGAAUUAAUUUUUGAAAUCUUUUGAAUGUGUUUCUUUAGCUUUAGAUUAUUAGAAAAACAACAAGUUUGCCAAGGUGUUUACAUUUUGUGUUUGCAGUUAGCGAGUCCAUCUAGCUAAAAAUAACUGAAAAAAGAGAACCAAAGUGGUGGACUACAGGGAACCUAACAAGCACUCCAGCGAGUGUGUCAAGCUGGACUGUACUGGAACCAAGGAGCCACACUGCAAUACGCUGCUGCCUAGAAGAGGAAGCACUAGCCCAGCUCAUUACCAAGAACAACAAUGUGAGAACCACUCUGAACCUCACUAUUAUUGCUUGUUGUUGUUGUUACCCCAGCCGUGGUUUAAAAGUGUUUUAAGGGCAGAGCGUAAAAGUAGCUAUCAUAGGAAGAUUGUGAAUGUGUUGAAAUUUCUGGCAAAGAAAAACAAAACACAAGGACAAGUCUGUGACUGUUAUUCUCACUGGAACCGAGGGGUGGUAUCUGUGGCAAUCUGGAAAAGCUUCACUGGGACCUCAGGAGGACCUCACUGUUCGAAUGCUGACAGAGAAGCUCAUAAACAAAGACACCAGUGCAAGUACAUGUUCUGGAGUUGUGCAGACGUCGGUAGACGUCAAAGAAACAAAACUGUAAUAUCUGAGUAUAUCGUGGGGAGAGGAAGAAAGCAUAGCUGUCAUAGCGUUGUGGGGCAAAACUCAAAUCCAGAGUGUACUCUGAGCAGAAACAGAAAAUAAAUACAUA